GUGGGGAAUAUUGGACAAUGGGCGAAAGCCUGAUCCAGCCAUGCCGCGUGUGUGAAGAAGGUCUUCGGAUUGUAAAGCACUUUAAGUUGGGAGGAAGGGCAGUAAGUUAAUACCUUGCUGUUUUGACGUUACCGACAGAAUAAGCACCGGCUAACUUCGUGCCAGCAGCCGCGGUAAUACGAAGGGUGCAAGCGUUAAUCGGAAUUACUGGGCGUAAAGCGCGCGUAGGUGGUUUUGUAAGUUGGAGGUGAAAUCCCCGGGCUCAACCUGGGAACUGCCUCCAAAACUGCAUGACUAGAGUACGGUAGAGGGUAGUGUAAUUUCCUGUGUAGCGGUGAAAUGCGUAGAUAUAGGAAGGAACACCAGUGGCGAAGGCGACUACCUGGACUGAUACUGACACUGAGGUGCGAAAGCGUGGGGAGCAAACAGGAUUAGAAACCCGGGUAGUCC
rnacentral:rRNA from 1 species